rnacentral:rRNA from 1 species
GAUGAACGCUGGCGGCGUGCCUAAUACAUGCAAGUCGAGCGAGCAGAUGAGGAGCUUGCUCCUCUGACGUUAGCGGCGGACGGGUGAGUAACACGUGGAUAACCUACCUAUAAGACUGGGAUAACUUCGGGAAACCGGAGCUAAUACCGGAUAAUAUAUUGAACCGCAUGGUUCAAUAGUGAAAGACGGUUUUGCUGUCACUUAUAGAUGGAUCCGCGCCGCAUUAGCUAGUUGGUAAGGUAACGGCUUACCAAGGCAACGAUGCGUAGCCGACCUGAGAGGGUGAUCGGCCACACUGGAACUGAGACACGGUCCAGACUCCUACGGGAGGCAGCAGUAGGGAAUCUUCCCCAAUGGGCGAAAGCCUGACGGAGCAACGCCGCGUGAGUGAUGAAGGUCUUCGGAUCGUAAAACUCUGUUAUUAGGGAAGAACAAAUGUGUAAGUAACUAUGCACGUCUUGACGGUACCUAAUCAGAAAGCCACGGCUAACUACGUG